rnacentral:rRNA from 1 species
UACGUAGGGUGCAAGCGUUGUCCGGAAUUAUUGGGCGUAAAGAGCUCGUAGGCGGUUUGUCGCGUCUGCCGUGAAAGUCCGGGGCUCAACCUCGGACUUGCAGUGGGUACGGGCAGACUAGAGUGUGGUAGGGGAGACUGGAAUUCCUGGUGUAGCGGUGGAAUGCGCAGAUAUCAGGAGGAACACCGAUGGCGAAGGCAGGUCUCUGGGCCAUUACUGACACUGAGAAGCGAAAGCAUGGGGAGCGAACAGG